GAGCAGUGAUGACCACUUAGGACACCUUUGGAUCAGUCAUGAAAACAAACCAAGCAGCUCUGAGCCCC